UGAUCAAUUCUGUACUAGUGGAUGUAUCCCCGGCCGGUUUAUGAGAACAUCUUGUAUUCCGAAUUCUUAAACAUGCUCUUGGAGGGUUGGCUUGAUGUCACAAUAUUACAUUGGUUUGCCAUGCAUUUCUUUGAGUCGCCCAAUUCUAGGUGUGCUUUUUUCAGUCCACAAAAAAUCACUGGAUCAUGGUGUAAAACACUUCUUGAAGACGUUAAAAAAAACGUAAAAGAAAUACAUGAGCUUCAUUCUAAAAAAGUUUUCUAUCUUGCACCAUACUUAGCCGGGUAAUAUAAAUUCCUCACCAUACAUACACAUACGCAUACAAUACAUACUUAAUAUGUUCUAUAAUUUUUAUUUUUGUAGUAAACAUUGGUCGCUUAUAAUUGUUUGUCCGGACUUCAAAUUCGGCUAUAUUGUAGAUUCUAUAAAUGAAGGGAAGACCCAUAAAAAUUACAAGCUCAUCAAGAUCAUUAAAGAAGUUUUUGAGAUUAAUUUUAAGUGGCACAUGGUACAGUGCAAACAACAGAAAGGCAGUUGAGAAUGUGGGUAUAUGGUAAUCAAACAUAUGAAAGAGUUUAUCGACUCUAUACAACAUGAUUUGGUUAACCGACUUUGGAAUGAAGAAGGGUAUUUUGAAGAAUCUCAAAUUGAGAAUUUAGUGGUAGAUUUAAUGUCGGAAUUUAUUAAAAAGAUGUUUUGAUCUUGUACGCAUUAGUUUUUGUUUCAUACUUUUGUAAUUCCGAAUACUUGAGCGGGUUGUUGGGUUGUUUAAUACUAGUUAACUUUUGUCGUGAGCAUGUGCAUUUGUGUGUAAUUGGAAUUAUAUUGGGAAAUAUUACUAAAAAUUCUGGAAUUUUGCAAAAAUAUUAAAAAUUUA